GAUUGUAACCAAUGGUGACCACAAGAAACACGAGCAGCGAAGACCCGAGCGAUGUGAUACGGGCACUGGAGCGAAGGAUAGAGGAGAUGUAGCGGCGACAUGAGGAAAUGCAAAGAAAGCACGAGGAAGAGAUGGCAGCAGUGAGGGCGGAAUGCUUGGCCCAAUUAAAAAGCAAGGCAUUGGAAACCGGUGAAGGUGCUGGGGGAAAAGGAAAAGACAGUCACACUUGAUAUAGGCGAUAAGG
rnacentral:lncRNA from 1 species